AGUAAGGUAAACUAUUGGUCAGUUACCAGACUCAUAAUCUGGGCAAGAAGGUUCAAUUCCUUCUCUUACAA
rnacentral:tRNA from 1 species